rnacentral:rRNA from 1 species
UACGAAGUUGGCAAGCGUUGUUCGGAUUUACUGGGCGUACAGGGAGCGUAGGCGGUUGGGUAAGUCCUCCGUGAAAUCUCCGGGCCUAACCCGGAAAGUGCGGAGGGGACUGCUCGGCUAGAGGAUGGGAGAGGAGCGCGGAAUUCCCGGUGUAGCGGUGAAAUGCGUAGAGAUCGGGAGGAAGGCCGGUGGUGAAGGCGGCGCUCUGGAACAUUUCUGACGCUGAGGCUCGAAAGCGUGGGGAGCAAACAGG